rnacentral:rRNA from 1 species
UAGGGAAUCUUCCGCAAUGGGCGAAAGCCUGACGGAGCAACGCCGCGUGAGUGAUGAAGGUCUUCGGAUCGUAAAACUCUGUUAUUAGGGAAGAACAAAUGUGUAAGUAACUAUGCACGUCUUGACGGUACCUAAUCAGAAAGCCACGGCUAACUACGUGCCAGCAGCCGCGGUAAUACGUAGGUGGCAAGCGUUAUCCGGAAUUAUUGGGCGUAAAGCGCGCGUAGGCGGUUUUUUAAGUCUGAUGUGAAAGCCCACGGCUCAACCGUGGAGGGUCAUUGGAAACUGGAAAACUUGAGUGCAGAAGAGGAAAGUGGAUUUCCAUGUGUAGCGGUGAAAUGCGCAGAGAUAUGGAGGAACACCAGUGGCGAAGGCGACUUUCUGGUCUGUAACUGACGCUGAUGUGCGAAAGCGUGGGGAUCAAACAGG